UUUAGUUAUUUUAAUUUUAUUUUUUGAUGUUAAAAAUACACGAUGGAUACUUAAAUAUUGAUGUUUACCUUUUUUAUUUUGAUAUUUUAUGGUGUAGAUUAACCUAAGUUAAUAUAACAAUCAAAACAGUAGGGCAUGGAAUGGCAGAUCAACAUUGUUAAUUUUCGGAUAAACUUUCUGGAUUUUGCCAAGUGAAGAACUCCAAUGAUAUACAUGUAGGGGCAUGUGUCCAAAGCUGAUCCACAUCAUAACAUACUGAUUGGGAAUAAUGACAUAGUACCAAAAGAUGUGCUUAUACUGUAAUUAGCAGAUCUUCACAAAUGAACCUGGCAGAUCCUGGUGCAACCUUACCUUACCAUAUUUACAUCUAACCGUCAGUUUGAGCUGUGUGUGGGUGGUAACACGGACUAUAUACAUGUAUUGCCCAGUAAUUGUCUUGUGAUGGACCUUUUUAACAUAUCAAGUAUUUAAUUGAAGACUUAAGAGGUCAGUUUUCAUCAAAGAAUUUAAAAAUACAGUUUUAUUUGUAAGGGUGAAUAUGUGGUUAUAAUGGCAUAAAUGUAUAUCUUGUGUCUGUUUUUUAAUCAGCCUUUCAUCCAUAAUUAUGAAUUUUAAGCAUGAUAAAGUAUUUUAAGGGAAUAUAAUGUAGACAUGUUAUGUUGUUUCUGCACAAGCAUUUGAAUACAAGAAAUUCUAUGCUCACUCAGCACUGUUUACACAUUGUCAAUGAAUUUGCUUGUUUUAGUUUCCAAAUCUGUCUGUCUCUAGCUCCCUGUGAAUAAUGUACUUUUUUACAUUGCAUCCAUUGAUUUUAAAUGGGGUGUAUUAUGCACAUGUCACACUUUUUUUACAAAAACAUUAAGGUCAAAGGUAAAAUAUAUGGGUCAAAAUCAUAACUUUUGCAAUAUUGAAGAUAGCAACUUGAUAUUUGGCAUGCAUGUGUACCUCAUGGAGCUGCACAUUUUGAGUGGUGAAAGGUCAAGUUCAUCCUUCAAGGUCAAAGGUCAAAUAUAUGGGUCAAAAUCGCUCAAAAGGGGACAUUGUGUAUUGUGUUUUACAAACACAUACCUUGUUAUGUUAUGUAAUGGCCUUUCAAUCGUCUUAUUUUUUUAUGAAAUACGCUGGAUUUGUCUUUUCAUUUCAUCCAUGAUAUCAUUAUGUUUUUUUUGCCUGUUACAUUUUGCGGCCCAAUGUAUGUGUUAAGCAGUUUAACCAUUUACAACGGCAUUUGUGGCGAGGCUUACAGUCAUAAGGUUGGUCAUUACAUGCACUGCAUAUCAUAAAAUCGUUUGGCUUUUAUUGACAAAAUUUGCGAAAACGGUGUCCAAGACUAAACAUGACAAGUGUCGCAACUUCGUCCCCACCUGGGAAUUCAGAGCGCAAAUUUCAGAUUAUAAUGUGUCAGAUUUUACACUUGUAUAAUGAAGAAGUCAUCUCUCGACAAGAUGGUGAUGUACUGAUCUCGUUCCAAGCCACACAUGAUACUUGUUUUGAUUUUAAUCAAAAUCGGUGUUAAAUAGUAAAAAUAAAAAGUGUCACAAAUUCGUCCCUAUUGAGAAGUCAGAGCUAAAAUUUCUGAUUUUAAUUUGUCAGAUUUUGCACUUUUAUAAUGAAGAAGUCAUCUCUUGACAAGAUGGUGGUGUCCUUAUCUCGUGCCGAGCCACAAAUGAUUCUUGUUUUGGUUCAAAGCAACAUAUAAACGAAGAUUUUUUUUUAAUGUACUUUGUUUUAAAUUCUGUUCUUUGAAAAAUGCAUGUACUUUGUUUUAAAUUCUGUUCUUUGAAAAAUGCAUAAUAAGUCAUCAACUAUUAUAAUUUUAUGAAAAUAUUACUUUAAUUUUGGUUAAUGCAGUUAUUGAUAUAAAUUGUUUUAACGCAUACGAUGUAGAUAACGUUCGCGAACCACAAUAGAAACGUUCGUUGAGUUCACGUUUAAACGCGACGGUCACGUUCUUACAGUGGGUAUUAUUUGUUGAUCUUACUUCACUUUAUCGACCAUUUGUCAUUUAACAGCAGAACACACGAACAAUCAAAGUAAAAUUAGAUGUAAGCGAUCGUUUUUUUCCGUUUAAGUUUCAAACAUUGGCUCGAAAAAGUGUGUGCAAAGGCUCAUUAUCGACAAUAAAGAUAACUUAAUAAUAAGCUGUAAAAACAACAAGCAACAGUUUAUGUCUUAUUAAAAUAUACGGUCAGUACAAACAUAUAUUGUAAUAUAUGCUACUAACAAUCGUUAAGUAUAAACUGUAAGCAAACAUCAACAAUAACAAUAACAGUUUGAGUAUAAAUAUAGGUGAAUGGAAAAAGUGAAAAUCAUUUAAUUGUCUUAUUCGCGAUCAUUUCGUUUCCGGUUUCCGUGCGAUAGUCCCAAAUAAGCGUCGCUCUGGCCGUAAUACAUAAUUACCGUCUUUUGAUUAUAGUCAGUAUUUGUGAACCUGAAAACGUGUUUUAUAAAUCUGGUAUCAUC